rnacentral:rRNA from 1 species
AUACGUAGGUGGCAAGCGUUAUCCGGAAUUAUUGGGCGUAAAGAGGGAGCAGGCGGCAGCAAGGGUCUGUGGUGAAAGCCUGAAGCUUAACUUCAGUAAGCCAUAGAAACCAGGCAGCUAGAGUGCAGGAGAGGAUCGUGGAAUUCCAUGUGUAGCGGUGAAAUGCGUAGAUAUAUGGAGGAACACCAGUGGCGAAGGCGACGAUCGGGCCUGCAACUGACGCUCAGUCCCGAAAGCGUGGGGAGCAAAUAGGUUUAGAUACCCUAGUGGUCCACGCCGUAAACGAUGAGUACUAAGUGUUGGAUGUCAAAGUUCAGUGCUGCAGUUAACGCAAUAAGUACUCCGCCUGAGUAGUACGUUCGCAAGAAUGAAACUCAAAUGAAUUGGCGGGG